AUUCCAGCUCCAAUAGCGUAUGUUAAAGUUGUUGCGGCUAAAAAGCUCGUAGUUGGAUUUCUAGAUGAGAGGAGUGGUCCACUCUAUGAGUGUGUAUCUACUUCCGCUCGUCUAUCCGCUCUGCAAACGUGUCUGCGCUUGACUGCGUGGCGCGGAGGUAGGGCCUUUUACUUUGAGGAAAUUAGAGUGUUCACGGCAGGCAAUCGCCUUGAAUAUAUUAGCAUGGAAUAAUAACAUAGGAUCUUGGUUCCAUUUUGUUGGUUUCUAGGGCUAAGAUAAUGAUUAAUAGGGACAAUUGGGGGCAUUCAUAUUCCAUUGUCAGAGGUGAAAUUCUUGGAUUAACGGAAGAUGAACUUCUGCGAAAGCAUCUGCCAAGGAUGUUUUCAUUG
rnacentral:rRNA from 1 species